UUCCGGUUGAUCCCGCCGGACCUGACUGCUAUCGGAUUGAUACUAAGCCAUGCAAGUCUUUGUAGUAAUACAAGGCAUACGGCUCAGUAACGCGUAGUCAACCUACCCUAUGGAUGGGGAUAAUCUCGGGAAACUGAGCAUAAUACCCAACAGAUCAUCAAUUCUGGAAUGGUUGAUGAUUCAAAUGAUUUUUCGCCAUAGGAUGGGACUGCGACCUAUCAGCUUGUUGGUGAGGUAAUGGCCCACCAAGGCAAUUACAGGUACGGGCUCUGAGAGGAGAAGCCCGGAGAUGGGUACUGAGACAAGGACCCAGGCCCUAUGGGGCGCAGCAGGCGAGAAAACUUUGCAAUGUGCGAAAGCACGACAAGGUUAAUCCGAGUGAUUUCUGCUAAAGGAAUCUUUUACCAGUUCUAAAAAUACUGGCGAAUAAGGGGUGGGCAAGUUCUGGUGUCAGCCGCCGCGGUAAAACCAGCACCUCAAGUGGUCAGGAGGAUUAUUGGGCCUAAAGCAUCCGUAGCCGGCUCUGUAAGUUUUCGGUUAAAUCUAUAUGCUCAACGUAUAGGCUGCCGAAAAUACUGCACAGCUAGGGAAUGGGAGAGGUAGACGGUACUCGGUAGGAAGGGGUAAAAUCCUUUGAUCUAUUGAUGACCACCUGUGGCGAAGGCGGUCUACCAGAACACGUUCGACGGUGAGGGAUGAAAGCUGGGGGAGCAAACCGGAUUAGAUACCCGGGUAGUCCCAGCUGUAAACGAUGCAGACUCGAUGAUGCAAUGGCAUAGAGCUAUUGCAGUAUCGCAGGGAAGCCGUUAAGUCUGCCGCCUGGGAAGUACGUACGCAAGUAUGAAACUUAAAGGAAUUGGCGGGGGAGCACCACAAGGGGUGAAGCCUGCGGUUCAAUUGGAUUCAACGCCGGG
rnacentral:rRNA from 1 species